AACGAACGCUGGCGGCAUGCCUAACACAUGCAAGUCGAACGAAGCCUUCGGGCUUAGUGGCGCACGGGUGCGUAACACGUGGGAAUCUGCCCUUCGGUUCGGAAUAACAGUUAGAAAUGACUGCUAAUACCGGAUGAUGACGUAAGUCCAAAGAUUUAUCGCCGAAGGAUGAGCCCGCGUAGGAUUAGGUAGUUGGUAGGGUAAUGGCCUACCAAGCCGACGAUCCUUAGCUGGUCUGAGAGGAUGAUCAGCCACACUGGGACUGAGACACGGCCCAGACUCCUACGGGAGGCAGCAGUGGGGAAUAUUGGACAAUGGGCGAAAGCCUGAUCCAGCAAUGCCGCGUGAGUGAUGAAGGCCUUAGGGUUGUAAAGCUCUUUUACCAGGGAUGAUAAUGACUGUACCUGGAGAAUAAGCUCCGGCUAACUCCGUGCCAGCAGCCGCGGUAAU
rnacentral:rRNA from 1 species